GGCGACGUGGCCAAGUGGUAAGGCAGGGGCCUGCAAAGCCCUAAUCCCCGGUUCGAUUCCGGGCGUCGCCUCCA
rnacentral:tRNA from 1 species